UACGAAGGGGGCUAGCGUUGCUCGGAAUUACUGGGCGUAAAGGGCGCGUAGGCGGCGUUGCAAGUCAGGCGUGAAAUUCCUGGGCUUAACCUGGGGACUGCGCUUGAGACUGUGGAGCUAGAGGUCAGAAGAGGGUCGUGGAAUUCCCAGUGUAGAGGUGAAAUUCGUAGAUAUUGGGAAGAACACCGGUGGCGAAGGCGGCGACCUGGUCUGAUACUGACGCUGAGGCGCGACAGCGUGGGGAGCAAACAGG
rnacentral:rRNA from 1 species